CCCUUAGAUGUUCUGGGCUGCACGCGCGCUACACUGAUGCGAUCAACAAGUUUUUCCUAUGUCGAGAGACACGGGUAAUCUUUUGAACUCGCAUCGUGUUGGGGAUAGAUUAUUGUAAUUAUUAAUCUUCAACGAGGAAUUCCUAGUAGGUGCAAAUCAUCAGUUUGCAUCGAUUACGUCCCUGCCCUUUGUACACACCGCCCGUCGCUGCUACCGAUUGGUUGAUCUGGUGAAUUAUUCGGACUGCCGGCUGAAGGGGUUUCCUCAUCUGCCAGCGGAAAGUCUUGUUAACCCUAUCAACUAGAGGAAGCAGAAGUCGUAACA
rnacentral:rRNA from 1 species